rnacentral:rRNA from 1 species
CCUACGGGAGGCAGCAGUGAGGAAUAUUGGUCAAUGGACGCGAGUCUGAACCAGCCAAGUAGCGUGCAGGAUGACGGCCCUAUGGGUUGUAAACUGCUUUUAUACAGGAAUAAAGUGCGGCACGUGUGCCUUUUUGCAUGUACCUUAUGAAUAAGGAUCGGCUAACUCCGUGCCAGCAGCCGCGGUAAUACGGAGGGUCCGAGCGUUAUCCGGAUUUAUUGGGUUUAAAGGGAGCGUAGGCGGGUUGUUAAGUCAGUUGUGAAAGUCCGCGGCUCAACCGUGGAACUGCAGUUGGUACUGGGGGGCUUGAGUGCAGUUGAGGUAGGCGGAAUUCGUGGUGUAGCGGUGAAAUGCUUAGAUAUCACGAAGAACUCCGAUUGCGAAGGCAGCUUACCAAACUGCGACUGACGUUGAGGCUCGAAGGUGUGGGUAUCAAACAGGAUUAGAUACCCCUGUAGUC